rnacentral:misc_RNA from 1 species
UGGUUAAUUCUGUUCUGUGG